AUACGGAGGGUGCAAGCGUUAAUCGGAAUUACUGGGCGUAAAGCGCGCGUAGGCGGAUUAGUAAGUCGGAUGCGAAAGCCCUGGGCUCAACCUGGGAAUUGCAUUCGAUACUGCUUGACUAGAGUAUGGUAGAGGGAAGUGGAAUUUCCGGUGUAGCGGUGAAAUGCGUAGAUAUCGGAAGGAACACCAGUGGCGAAGGCGACUUCCUGGGCCAAUACUGACGCUGAGGUGCGAAAGCUAGGGUAGCGAACGGGAUUAGAAACCCCAGUAGUCC
rnacentral:rRNA from 1 species